GCGGCCCCGCCAGGCUCCCCCCGCCCCGCCCCGCACGCACCGCGGCCCCGGCCCCGCGGCCUCUCCCCGUCCCGUCCCGCACGCACCGCGGCCCCGGCCCCACGCCCCCGCCGGCCUCUCCCCGUCCCGUCCCGCACGCACCGCGGCCCCGGCCCCACCGGCCUCUCCCGCCCCGCCCCGCACGCACCGCGGCCCCGGCCCCACGCCCCCGCCAGCCUCUCCCCGUCCCGCACGCACCGCGGCCCCGGCCCCACGCCCCCGCCGGCCUCUCCCGCCCCGCCCCGCACGCACCGCGGCCCCGGCCCCACGCCCCCGCCAGCCUCUCCCCGUCCCGUCCGCACCGCGGCCCCGGCCCCACGCCCCCGCCGGGCUCCCCCCGCGUCCGCCGAGGCCCGCAGCUUGGGCUCCCCGCGGUUGCGGGGGGAGUUGGGGCGAGGCCGGAGCCCGCCCCGGCGCUGCUGCCUCACGCUGCUUAGGUCGAGGCGCAGAGGCAGCCGCGGGGUGAAAGUGCCGCAGGGGGGAGCAGGGAGGAGCAGGGGGCACGGUGCGGCAGGAGCGCGCUGCCAAGGCGAGGGCGGCAGCACGGCAGCAGCCUCGAGAAAGCAAAAGGGCCGUGGGCACUGGGACUGAGCAAAGGUCGCGUACCCCAAAGCAACGAGACAGCUGGUCCGCGUCUGCAAAACCAGCUCAAGGCAUACUAAUGCUGGCUGAAGGAAGGAUGGGAAUGAACCAACUGAACGUACACCUGGCGAGGAACACCUCUGUAAAAUCAUCUGAGAGCCCGACUCUGCUCUUGCAGGCAGGAGAACUCCGGCCAAGGCUCUUCUCCGUGGAGCAGAGAUCGGCACAAACGAGUUAACACCAGUCAAUCCAGAAAGAUUUUUGGUAUAGCAGCAGCUCCCCUUUUCCCUGGGCAGGAACCCAGCACUGAGGCCUGCAGAAAACACCUAGUCCCAAAUGUUACAGCAAUUACAGUCAAUCGAAAUCCUGAAGCUUUCUGUGCUGAACCAGGCUGCAGAAAACACUUUAACAAUUAAUAUAGUACAAAGUUACCGAGGAGGAAAACAAAAGAUGAACCAACGCUGUGUUUCAGGCUCUGAGGUACAGGAAUGAUCAGUCUCCAGACCCUGGAUGCAACCAGAGCUAAAAACAAAUAACAGAAAUCCAACCUGUGUGAUUGAACACCAGUACAGUGGAAGACAUCUCGUGUAUCAUCCCUAAGAGCCGGCUGCUCCCAGCACCGUGGGGUGCCGUGGGCUCCUCCGCCCCGCUCCGACGGCUGCUCGCGGCGCCGCUCGCUCCAGCUGCUCUGAACCCAACAAACGUGGGAACCAACAACCACUCUCAAGUAUUAAAAUCAUUCACAAACUGG